AUCCUGGAGAGAUCUGGGAGUGCUCGCAAGAGAACCUGAACACAGGUGCUGCAUGGCUGUCGUCAGCUCGUGUCGUGAGAUGUUGGGUUAAGUCCCGCAACGAGCGCAACCCUUGUCAUUAAUUGCCAUCACUCAGUUGGGCACUUUAAUGAGACUGCCGGUGACAAACCGGAGGAAGGUGGGGAUGACGUCAAGUCCUCAUGGCCCUUAUGGGUAGGGCUUCACACGUCAUACAAUGGUCGGUUCAGAGGGUUGCCAACCCGCGAGGGGGAGCCAAUCUCAGAAAGCCGAUCGUAGUCCGGAUCGCAGUCUGCAACUCGACUGCGUGAAGUCGGAAUCGCUAGUAAUCGCGGAUCAGCAUGUCGCGGUGAAUACGUUCCCGGGUCUUGUACACACCGCCCGUCACACCAUGGGAGCGGGUUCUGCCAGAAGUAGUUAGCCUAACCGCAAGGAGGGCGAUUACCACGGCAGGGUUCGUGACUGGGGUGAAGUCGUAACAAGGUAGCCGUAGGGGAACCUGCGGCUGGAUCACCUCCUUUCU
rnacentral:rRNA from 1 species